rnacentral:rRNA from 1 species
UGGGGAAUAUUGCACAAUGGGCGCAAGCCUGAUGCAGCCAUGCCGCGUGUAUGAAGAAGGCCUUCGGGUUGUAAAGUACUUUCAGCGGGGAGGAAGGCGAUAAGGUUAAUAACCUUGUCGAUUGACGUUACCUGCAGAAGAAGCACCGGCUAACUCCGUGCCAGCAGCCGCGGUAAUACGGAGGGUGCAAGCGUUAAUCGGAAUUACUGGGCGUAAAGCGCACGCAGGCGGUCUGUCAAGUCGGAUGUGAAAUCCCCGGGCUCAACCUGGGAACUGCAUUCGAAACUGGCAGGCUAGAGUCUUGUAGAGGGGGGUAGAAUUCCAGGUGUAGCGGUGAAAUGCGUAGAGAUCUGGAGGAAUACCGGUGGCGAAGGCGGCCCCCUGGACAAAGACUGACGCUCAGGUGCGAAAGCGUGGGGAGCAAACA